AUCAUUUUAAAAAUGAUUUUUUGUUUUUUUAAUCAAAUAUUUAGUAAUUUAAAAUAAAAGUACGUUCGGUAAAAUAUUUUAUUUUUUGUUUUUCUAAUUUAAAAUCAAAUUUAUGUAAAUUUUUAAAAACAGAUUUUGAACGAUUUUAAAAAUUUUUAAAAACACUUUUUUCCUCUUUUCUCGCUUCUCUCUCGCUCUCUAGUUCUGCAAUUUCAAUGAUCUUCAAUGGCUUCCAUUCAGUAUUCUCGCUGAAUUCGAAGCUUGGGGUGUCGUUUCUGAAGUACUCGUUUCCGGCGACACCGUCAUAGCCGAAGGUCCAAGUCUUUCUGGCAUUACGCACGCAAGCUCUAUUAGGCGAUGUCGGCUGUAUAUUCAUGGCCUUUCUCAGGUGACGGACUACAACAAGGUUGUGUUGCAAGCUGACGGAGAUAGGGGGAACAACGGGAGGCCAUGCCCACCCCUAAUAUACUUUGUUCUUUUUAAAAUUUGUGUGCAUAUGAACUGUUUGGUUAAAUCUCUCAAUAACCUGUAUGUGUUGUAAAAUGUUAAUUGUGUGUUUUAUAAUAUGUAAUUAUACUAUUUAACUCAAGCUUGCCUAACAUUACUAAUCCAAAGAUACCCAUAUGAUUUCUAGUGUAAUUAUAUUUCUUGUCUAUUAAUUCAAAUUUACAUGUUGAUAUGUUGAUUUGCUUAUUCAAGGUUUUGGUCUGUCUUAAUAAAGUUCAUGUUGUUUCAGUACUUGCAAAAUAUGGACGAUUGUUCUGUAGUAUCUCCUGUUUGCAUCUUUAUUGACUAUUUUAUGAAAUGAAAUAAUGAAUCUGAAGUAUUCUUAGAAUGAAAAGAAUGAUGUAUGGGUCAUGGCUAGCUGUAGCAAUUGCUUACUGUUUUUAGGUUGGCAUGAGGCUAAUUAGGAUGAGAAGUUACUUUUAAGAAGUUAUCUAUCUUUGAAUUUUGAUUAGAUAAUUUAUAUGAAAAAAUAAUAUCAAUUAACAUUGUUUAGAAAAAUAUUAUCUGAUUGAUUCUGGAUAUACAAAUAUGCCUGGUUUUCUUUUCCCAUAUCGAGGAGAAAGAUAUCAUUUGAAUCAAUAUACAGAUCAUAAUCAUUCAGGAAAAAAGGAGUUCAAUUAUCGACAUUCGUCUUUGAGAAAUAUCAUCAAGCGGUACUUUGGCGUAUUAAAGGCUCGUUUUUUAAUUUUAAAGCAAAUGCCUUUGUAUGAUUUGAAAAUACAGAAGUACAUCGUGCUUGCCUGUUGUGGAAUUCACAAUUUUAUAAGGACAAAUGUAGAAAAAGACAUAUAUUUUGAUGGAGAUGAAGACAUCUAUGAAGUACAAGAUGCUACUAUACAAAGCACUCACGAAACUUUGAAUGAUAUUGUUGGGUUUAGCAUUUCAAGAGAUCAAAUUAGUGAAAAUGGCGAAUAUCAAUGAUGAAAUUGCUGAUCAUCUAUGGAUUAUGGAGAGCAAAUCGACGAUGAAGAUAAUGAGUGAAACUUAUUAACAAUUAGAAAAUUUUUAAUAUUUUUCUUCAAGAUUGAACAAUUAUUAGUUCAUAUUUUAUUAUGACUUUGUCGAUUUUAUGUUAUAGAUAAUGAGUUUCGUGAUUUUAAAUUACUUGAAUUUUUUUAAGA